rnacentral:rRNA from 1 species
CAUGGCGGUGCUACCAUGCAAGUCGAACGUGAUCCGCCCUUCGGGGUGGUGAAAGUGGCGCACGGGUGAGUAACGCGUGGAUAAUCUGCCCGAGGAUUUGGGAUAACAUCUCGAAAGGGGUGCUAAUACCGAAUAAGCCCACGGGGUCUACGGAUCUUGCGGGAAAAGGGGGGGACCUUCGGGCCUCCUGUCCUUGGAUGAGUCUGCGUACCAUUAGCUAGUUGGUGGGGUAAUGGCCUACCAAGGCGACGAUGGUUAGCUGGUCUGAGAGGAUGAUCAGCCACACUGGAACUGAGACACGGUCCAGACUCCUACGGGAGGCAGCAGUGGGGAAUUUUGCGCAAUGGGGGAAACCCUGACGCAGCAACGCCGCGUGGGUGAUGAAGGCCUUCGGGUCGUAAAGCUCUGUCUGGAGGGAAGAAAUGAUUGGGAGCUAAUACCUCUUGAUCUUGACGGUACCUCUGAAGGAAGCACCGGCUAACUCCGUGCCAGCAGCCGCGGUAAUACGGAGGGUGCAAGCGUUGUUCGGAAUUAUUGGGCGUAAAGCGCGUGUAGGCGGUCUUUUAAGUCUGAUGUGAAAGCCCCGGGCUCAACCUGGGAAGUGCAUUGGAAACUGGGAGGCUUGAGUACGGGAGAGGAGAGUGGAAUUCCUAGUGUAGGAGUGAAAUCCGUAGAUAUUAGGAGGAACACCGGUGGCGAAGGCGGCUCUCUGGACCGAUACUGACGCUGAGACGCGAAAGCGUGGGUAGCAAACAGGAUUAGAUACCCUGGUAGUCCACGCCGUAACGAUGAGUACUAGGUGUUGCGGGUAUUGACCCCU